rnacentral:rRNA from 1 species
UACGUAUUUUGCAAGCGUUAUCCGGAUUCACUGGGUUUAAAGGGUGCGUAGGCGGGCAUGUAAGUCAGUGGUGAAAUCUCCGAGCUUAACUCGGAAACUGCCGUUGAUACUAUUUGUCUUGAAUAUUGUGGAGGUAAGCGGAAUAUGUCAUGUAGCGGUGAAAUGCUUAGAUAUGACAUAGAACACCAAUUGCGAAGGCAGCUUACUACACAACGAUUGACGCUGAGGCACGAAAGCGUGGGGAUCAAACAGG